rnacentral:misc_RNA from 1 species
UCAAUAGACCGUCACCAAGGCACAUUACACCAAGACCCAUUACACCAAGACCUGAUCCGAGGUUCGAAUUUAGUCAGGAUGCACAAUUUCCACCAUGGUUUAGCGGGGGUAGCCAUAACAGAGAGAGGUUUUAUGCACAAUAUCUGCCAGGGUCUACCGGGGGUAGCCAUAACAGUGCUCUUGCAGCAUCGCCCUUCAGAUAUUCAGAGAUGACUCAAGACAGUGAUUAAUUUACCUACCAACGGUCGCAGAGGGCAUUAUCACAAGUUAUACGACCUUCAACGCCUUCCACACCUACAAGACCGGGGGUAUACGCGUUGAACCUGAUUGACAACAUGUUAUUUUCGCCUUCACCGCUACGUCAAUCACAAAUAGAUGAAUGGCUUCGGUCCUUUUCACCUGUACAUUCAUUAGAUAUGCCUUCACCAGAUAUGUUUUCACCUUCAACACCGGGGGCAAACGCAUUGAAUGCUGUGGGUGGCGUGGUAUUUCCACCUCCUUCAUCGCCACGACAGUCACAAAUAGACGAAUGGCUUAGAUCUUUAUCCCCUAUCUCUCCAAGUAUGCUAAACAUAGUGGGACCUCAGGAACUCCCGGAAUUUGACGUAUUAAUAUUCGGGAGGUUAUUAAAUACCACUCAACCCAUCCAAGAAGUAACUGAUUGGGCUGAGGAUGGCUAUAAUUUCAUCCUGAGCAUUCACGCGUUAGCAAUUUAAAAAGAAUGGUACGAGAACGGAGCUGACGAGGAAUUGAAUCACCAUAUGGAUGCCUAUGAAACCCACGAAGAUGAGGAAAUGAAUCGCUAUAUGGAUGCCUAUGAAACCCGUAAAAGAGAAUUUCAAAAAAACUAAUUUUCUUAUAUUAUUAUUAUUAUUAUUUUAUAUUAACUGGUAAAUAAAUA